rnacentral:rRNA from 1 species
AGAACGAACGCUGGCGGCAUGCCUAACACAUGCAAGUCGAACGUGAUCCAGGCUUCGGCCUGGUGAAAGUGGCAGACGGGUGAGUAACGCGUGGGAACCUGCCCUGUGGUAGGGAAUAACCGUGGGAAACUGCGGCUAAUACCCUAUGAGUCCUUCGGGGGAAAGAUUUAUCGCCAUAGGAGGGGCCCGCGUCGGAUUAGGUAGUUGGUGGGGUAACGGCCUACCAAGCCUUCGAUCCGUAGCUGGUCUGAGAGGAUGAUCAGCCACACUGGGACUGAGAUACGGCCCAGACUCCUACGGGAGGCAGCAGUGGGGAAUAUUGGACAAUGGGGGGCAACCCUGAUCCAGCAAUGCCGCGUGGAUGAUGAAGGCCUUCGGGUUGUAAAGUCCUUUCGGCGGGGAAGAUGAUGACGGUACCCGCAGAAGAAGCCCCGGCUAACUUCGCGCCAGCAGCCGC